rnacentral:rRNA from 1 species
GACGUAGGGCGCGAGCGUUGUCCGGAUUUAUUGGGCGUAAAGAGCUCGUAGGCGGCUUGUCGCGUCGACUGUGAAAACCCGUGGCUCAACCAUGUGGUCUGCAGUCGAUACGGGCAGGCUAGAAUUCGGUAGGGGAGACUGGAAUUCCUGGUGUAGCGGUGAAAUGCGCAGAUAUCAGGAGGAACACCGGUGGCGAAGGCGGGUCUCUGGGCCGUAACUGACGCUGAGGAGCGAAAGCGUGGGGAGCGAACAGG